rnacentral:sRNA from 1 species
ACAGAGCAAGACUCCGUCUCAAAAAAAAAAAAAGAACACCUCUUUCCCUUCCUGCGCCCGAGAGAGCUGGCCCUUCCUGCCCAGGGAGUGGCCAUGGGGCCAGGGCAGCCCUUCCCUUCCCUCCUGCCCAGGCCCGGAGCUCAGGAGCCGUCUGUGUGGUCCACUCCUUCCCAGGUGAAUGGCGUCCUGCCCAUCCUGCCCCUGCUCUUUCCAGUCCUCUGGGUUCUGGCAACUGCCUGUGGAGAGGCCCGUGUCCUGGCCCAGAUGAGCAAGGCCUCGCCCAGCUCCCUGCUGGCUAAGUUCUCAGAGGACACUCUCAGCAGCUAUACAGAGGCUGUCUCCUCUCAGGAAAUGCUGCGCUGCAUUUGGGGCCACUUCC